rnacentral:tRNA from 3 species
GCGGACGUAGCUCAGUUGGUAGAGCGCAACCUUCCCAAGGUUGAUGUCGCGAGUUCGAAUCUCGUCGUCCGCU